rnacentral:rRNA from 1 species
UACAGAGGGGGCAAGCGUUAUUCGGAAUUAUUGGGCGUAAAGGGCGCGUAGGCGGCUUGGCAAGUGGAUGGUGAAAUCCCUCGGCUUAGCCGAGGAACUGCCGUCCAAACUGCUUCGCUUGAGACCGGGAGAGGUGAGUGGAAUUCCCAGUGUAGCGGUGAAAUGCGUAGAUAUUGGGAGGAACACCAGUGGCGAAGGCGGCUCACUGGACCGGUACUGACGCUGAUGCGCGAAAGCGUGGGGAGCAAACGGG